rnacentral:lncRNA from 1 species
GUAUAGUAUGGAGGGGAGAGGGGUAUUAAGCUGAAAAGAGAUUAAACUUGGCUUGGUUGGUUCUCCAUCACAAUGGUGCUUAACCAUAUUUUCCAAACUAAAAAUCAGGACGCAUGAUUGGACAGUGAAAUUUAUGCACAGACUUAUUGUAUAGAACAAAUGUUAUUUUCUCAAAAUCAGUCCUGUUCCAGUAAAUCUGGGCUAGAUGGCGACUGUGGGGUGGACUAUAUGACAGCCAACACAAUCAGAAGACCUGGUUCAAGUUCCCCUUCUGACACACCAAGGGCAAGUUCCUUACCCUCUCAAGGUUCCAAUGCAGAGCCACACUGGGAGAUGGAUUUCCUCAGUGGAAGUCCUCUAGACCACUGUGACAUCAGAGGUCCAGUACCUUCUCUAGCAACAACAACAACAAAAUGGAGACUAGUACCUGGGUUGGAUGAAACUAAAAUUCAGGAGUACCGUAUUACUUGCUCAGGAUCACACAGUAGGGAUUGUGGAAGAGAAAUGAAGAGAGAGAGGAUUUGCAGGACAACCCAGGCAUGCAGAUCAAGCUGGGGACCUGAUCUGCAAAAUCAAGUUUGUUCCUGAAUUGAAGAAUACAGGACGACAAUCAAGAUCGACAGCAGACAAGAGUGGCAUGCUGACCAGAUGACCAGAGUUUCUCCAAUCAACAUCAAAGGACAUGGAAGGACUUUGAAAGUUUGGACUUGUGAUCCUGAGGUUAUGUAAGAAUGCGACAUACAUAUUAACAUCACAUAUAUAUAUAUAUAUAUAUAUAUACACAUUCUACAAAGGAAGAUAUCUCAUGGAAUGGGUAAGUAUACAACAUAUGCAUAGUUGCAAAACACAAAAGUCACACUGAUAUAUAAAUUUCUGUGGAAAAUUCAAAGAAAGAUAUUUCUUUGAGUUUGUACAGAAAUCUAGAACAAUGUACUAUAGAUAUACAUAUGUAAAUCUGUAUAGACAUAACCUGUGUACACAUAUAGAUACUAAUGUGCUAACAAACUAACUAUAUUGGAAUAAUUUAUUAAUGUUCUAAUAACUAAACUAUGGAGACAGUUUAGAAAAAUUUGUUCAAAGUCUUAGGGAAGUAGGGACAGACAUAAAACUACUUAAGUAUAGAAGUUAGAUUACAUUAUAAUUAUAGGUUAGCAAUUGUUAGUAAUAGAAAUUAUACUUAGUUGAAUUUAUAGACAUUAGGAGAUAAGACAGUUGCAUAUUCAAAAUGCUAUUGAAAUUGUUGGAAUUGUUUAUAAUUGUUACUUACAUGAGUUAUGUCAAAACCAUGUUUAUAUAAAAUCCCUAUUACCUAAACCAUUUAUCCUAUACCCAAACUUAGCAUAGAACUAGAUAGACAGAAUAGCUAAAAUAAGAUUAGGAUUUGUUAUUUUGGGAGGGUAAAGGAAUAUUUUAUAUAGUACAGGGUUAAGAAUUAGAUAGUUAGAAAUAUAACCAAAUAUAUCUAAAAGGUAAGUUUCAUUAAAAAUUGCUAGGUGCAAUUUUAA